GACGAACGCUGGCGGCGUGCUUAACACAUGCAAGUCGAACGGAAAGGCCCUGCUUUUGUGGGGUGCUCGAGUGGCGAACGGGUGAGUAACACGUGAGUAACCUGCCCUUGACUUUGGGAUAACUUCAGGAAACUGGGGCUAAUACCGGAUAGGAGCUCCUGCUGCAUGGUGGGGGUUGGAAAGUUUCGGCGGUUGGGGAUGGACUCGCGGCUUAUCAGCUUGUUGGUGGGGUAGUGGCUUACCAAGGCUUUGACGGGUAGCCGGCCUGAGAGGGUGACCGGCCACAUUGGGACGGGGAUACGGCCCAGACUCCUACGGGGGGCAGCAGUGGGAAUAUUGCACAAUGGGCGGAAGCCUGAUGCAGCAACGCCGCGUGCGGGAUGACGGCCUUCGGGUUGUAAACCGCUUUCGCCUGUGACGAAGCGUGAGUGACGGUAAUGGGUAAAGAAGCACCGGCUAACUACGUG
rnacentral:rRNA from 1 species